UACGUAGGGUGCGAGCGUUAAUCGGAAUUACUGGGCGUAAAGCGUGCGCAGGCGGUCUGUUAAGACCGAUGUGAAAUCCCCGGGCUUAACCUGGGAACUGCAUUGGUGACUGGCAGGCUUUGAGUGUGGCAGAGGGAGGUAGAAUUCCACGUGUAGCAGUGAAAUGCGUAGAGAUGUGGAGGAACACGAUGGCGAACGGCAGCCCCCUGGGCCAAUACUGACGCUCAUGCACGAAAGCGUGGGGAGCAAACAGG
rnacentral:rRNA from 1 species